GUGCCAGCCGCCCGCGGUAAUACGUAGGGGGCGAGCGUUAUCCGGAUUCAUUGGGCGUAAAGCGCGCGUAGGCGGCGCGCCAAGCGGAACCUCUAACCUCGGGGCUCAACCUCGAGCCGGGUUCCGAACUGGCGCGCUCGAGUUCGGUAGAGGCAGGCGGAAUUCCCGGUGUAGCGGUGGAAUGCGCAGAUAUCGGGAAGAACACCGAUGGCGAAGGCAGCCUGCUGGGCCGACACUGACGCUGAGGUGCGAAAGCUAGGGGAGCGAACAGG
rnacentral:rRNA from 1 species